rnacentral:tRNA from 1 species
GCUGGCAUGGUCUAGUUGGUUAUGACGACUGCCUAACACGCAGUAGGUCCCGAGUUCGACUCUCGGUUCCAGUA